rfam:Hymenolepis microstoma genomic scaffold, pathogens_HYM_scaffold_0008
CCAACUAUGAUGAUUUGUUAUCGCCCCAGUCUGAAAGAACUGUUGAAUGAUAUUUUCUGAACUCUG